rfam:Ictidomys tridecemlineatus contig014221, whole genome shotgun sequence.
GGGGAUAUAGCUCAGUUGGUAGGGUGCUUACCUCACACGCACAAGGCCCUGGGUUCAAUCCCCAGUAUCACCA